rnacentral:rRNA from 1 species
AUGCAUUCAAAGAGUGCGUAACAGCUCACUGGUCGAGUGGGGGCGCGCCGACAAUGCGCGGGGCUCAAGCACGGCGCCGAAGCGGCGGAAUCAAGCAAUUGAUUGGUAGGGGAGCUUUCCAUGCCGGGCGAAGCCGGAGGCGCGAGCCCCGGUGGACGGCAUGGAAGUGAGGAUGCAGGCAUGAGUAGCGAGAGAGCGGCGAGAAACCGCUCCGCCGAAAACCCAAGGUUUCCUGGGCGAGGCUAAUCCCCCCAGGGUCAGCCGGGAGCUAAGGCGAGGCCGCAAGGCGCAGCCGAUGCACGACGGGCAGACAUUCCCGUGCCGGCGCGGGCGCGCUACGACCGAUGGGACGACGGGGAAGGAUACGCGAGCGGGGUUCUGGACGUCCCCGUGAAAGCGCGUAGGGAGGGGCCCAGGGAAAUCCGGUCCCCACACAUCCCGAGACGCGAGACGAGCCGCACGGCGAAGUCGCGGAUUCCAUGCCUCCUAGAAAAAUCCCUAGGCAGCGCCCACGCCGCCCGUACCAAAACCGACACAGGUGGGUAGGAAGAGCAUUCCGAGGCGAUCGGGGCAACCAUGGUCAAGGAACUCGGCAUAAUCGUCCCGUAACUUAGGGAGAAGGGACGCCCCCCAGCGUGUACCGGCUCGCCCGGGAAGCGCCGGGGGGCCGCAGCGAAAGGGCCCAAGCGACUGUUUACCAAAAACACAGGACUCUGCCAAGCCGCGAGGCGAAGUAUAGGGUCUGACGCCUGCCCGGUGCCGGAAGGUCACGGGGAUCCGUUAGCCUUUGGCGAAGCGGUGAACCCAAGCCCCGGUAAACGGCGGCCGUAACUAUAACGGUCCUAAGGUAGCGAAAUUCCUUGUCGGGUAAGUUCCGACCUGCACGAACGGCGCAACGACUUGGGCGCUGUCUCGACCAUGGGCCCGGCGAAAUUGCAUUAUCCGUGAAGAUGCGGAUUCCCCGCGGAAGGACGGAAAGACCCCGUGAACCUUUACUGCAGCUUGGCAUUGGCCGCAGGCGCGGCGCGUAGAGGAUAGGCAGGAGGCUGCGAAGCCCGGGCGCCAGCCCGGGCGGAGCCGACCUUGGAAUACUGCCCCCGUCGCGUCGGCGGCCUAACCCGGGGACGGCCCGGGGACCGUGCCAGGCGGGCAGUUUGACUGGGGCGGUCGCCUCCCAAAGAGUAACGGAGGCGCGCGCAAGGUCCGCUCAGGACGGUCGGCAACCGUCCGAAGAGCGCAAGAGCACAAGCGGGCCUGACUGCGAGGCAGACAAGCCGAGCAGGGACGAAAGUCGGCUCUAGUGAUCCGGCGGCCCCGAGUGGAAGGGCCGUCGCUCAACGGAUAAAAGGUACUCCGGGGAUAACAGGCUGAUCUUGCCCAAGAGUCCACAUCGACGGCAAGGUUUGGCACCUCGAUGUCGGCUCAUCGCAUCCUGGGGCUGGAGUCGGUCCCAAGGGUACGGCUGUUCGCCGUUUAAAGCGGUACGCGAGCUGGGUUCAGAACGUCGUGAGACAGUUCGGUCCCUAUCCUCCGCGGGCGCAGGAGAAUUGAGGAGGGCUGCCCCUAGUACGAGAGGACCGGGGCGGACGGGCCUCUGGUGUCCCGGUUGUCGACCAACGGCACGGCCGGCUAGCCACGCCCGGAACGGAUAACCGCUGAAGGCAUCUAAGCGGGAAGCCGUCUCCGAGAUGAGUUCUCCCUUCGGUAAGCCCCCAUGUAGAACACGUGGUAGAUAGGCCGCAGCUGCAAGCGCCGCGAGGCGUUCAGGCGAGCGGUACUAAUAGGGCGAGCCCUUGCACC